UACUUUCUCUCAACCACAGAUCUGCAGUCCACCCGAUCCCGACCUUGACUACGGUCAAUAUGUUCGGUUGAUUGGUGUGCGAUGAUCGCUCGACUUCAAAAUGGAACCCUUCAACCAAUCGUGAAGCCCGUCCGAGUCGACAGAUCUCAGAGUAACAAUCCGAGGAGUGUGGCACCGCCUUGUAGGCUUCGCAAGAGGACUCGGCUGAUUCCACCUCCUUCGGAAGGCGCUAUAUUCCAAUUCGUUCCCGAUUUGUCCGUUGGAUGAGGAGGGGUAGGACAAACCAUAGCUGUCUACAUUA
rnacentral:sRNA from 1 species